GUAGAUAUAGUUUAAUAUAAAACAUUAGAUUGUGGUUCUAAAAACAGAGGUUAAACCCCCCUUAUCCACCG
rnacentral:tRNA from 1 species